rnacentral:lncRNA from 1 species
CAGAAUGUUUAACAAUGGGUUUAAGAUUAACCUCCUUAAUCCUACAAUUCUCAGCAUCAUUGAUUAAUUUCUGGGCUUCAGAUUCACUAAUAGUUUGAUGGAGUACAUCAGUAGGAAGAUCCAAAUAACAACCACCGGGUCGACCCGACAUGGCCCUAUCCAAAACACUGAAAACACAGCUAGGGAUUUUCGUUAUAUCAGUAGCUUUAGCUGAGUAUUUAGAGAAGGGUUUAACAGCUUCAAUUUGGUCUAAUUCUUGAAAAUCGCCCCGGCCCGAAUCUUUCUGAUCACAUGACCCGGAAAUCAGGACCAUGGGCCAUGUAUUAACGGUUGCAUUGGAAAGUCCGGCGAGGCCGUGAACGCAACCGGGACCGGAAACGGUGAGGAGAAUACCGGGUCGACCCGUAAGGUAGCCGUAAGCUGAAGCAGCAUAACCGGCGGAUUGCUCGUUGUGGAAAGCAAUGAACCGGGUACCGAGAGCGACCACCCGGUUCGCAAGGGAAGUAACGGGUAUUCCAACGACGCCGAACAUCCGGUCUACGCCGGCACGUGCAAGG